GGAAGUGGCGGGGUGCUAUACAUGACAGUCGAGCGGAGUGAUGGGAGCUUGCUCCCUGAAAUCAGCGGCGGACGGGUGAGUAACACGUGGGUAACCUGCCUGUAAGACUGGGAUAACUCCGGGAAACCGGGGCUAAUACCGGAUAGUUCUUUUCCUCGCAUGAGGAAAAGUGGAAAGGCGGCUUCGGCUGCCACUUACAGAUGGACCCGCGGCGCAUUAGCUAGUUGGUGAGGUAACGGCUCACCAAGGCAACGAUGCGUAGCCGACCUGAGAGGGUGAUCGGCCACACUGGGACUGAGACACGGCCCAGACUCCUACGGGAGGCAGCAGUAGGGAAUCUUCCGCAAUGGACGAAAGUCUGACGGAGCAACGCCGCGUGAGUGAUGAAGGUUUUCGGAUCGUAAAGCUCUGUUGUUAGGGAAGAACAAGUGCCGUUCGAAUAGGGCGGCACCUUGACGGUACCUAACCAGAAAGCCACGGCUAACUACGUGCCAGCAGCCGCGGUAAUACGGUAGGUGGCAAGCGUUGUCCGGAAAUUAUUGGGCGUAAAGCGCGCGCAGGCGGUCUCUUAAGUCUGAUGUGAAAGCCCACGGCUCAACCGUGGAGGGUCAUUGGAAACUGGGGGACUUGAGUACAGAAGAGGAGAGUGGAAAUUCCACGUGUAGCGGUGAAAUGCGUAGAUAUGGUGGGAGGGAACCACCCAGGUGGCGAAAGCGGACUUUUCUGGUUCUGUAAACUGACGCUGAGCGCGAAAAGCGUGGGGGAGCAAACAGGAUUAGAUACCCCUGGUAGUCCCACGCCCGUAGACGAUGAGUGCUAAGUGUUUAGAGGGAUUUCCGCCCCUUUAGGUGCUGCAGCUAGACGGCAUUAAAGCACUCGCCUGGGGGGAGUACGGUCGACAGGACUGCAAAACUUCAGACGAAACUGACGGAGGCCCGCCACAAGCGGUUGCAAGCCAACGUGUGAUUUUAAGUUUCGA
rnacentral:rRNA from 1 species